UAAACUAACUGCAACAAACAUAGUAAACUAACUACUAUUUUUGCGAUUUUUAAAUUUUUUUUUUUUAAACAAAAAAACUGAAUGCAAAAACUAAAUGUAAAUAACCCGAAAACAUAACGAACUACAAUGUAAAUAACUAACUAUAUGCAAUACGACACUAAAAUGCCCCCAAACUUAAACUAGACAUUGUCCUCAAUGGCUACAAUAGAAAAAAUUAAAGCAGAGGACUUCCCUGAAAAUAUAGCAAUC
rnacentral:lncRNA from 1 species